AUUCUGGCUCAGGAUGAACGCUAGCGGCAGGCUUAACACAUGCAAGUCGAGGGGCAUCGGGAGUAGCAAUACUUGCCGGCGACCGGCGCAAGGGUGCGUAACGCGUGAGCAACAUGCCCGUAUCAGGGGGAUAAUCCAUGGAAACGUGGUCUAAUACCCCAUAGUAAUUAUGUAAGGCAUCUUAUAUAAUUUAAAGCUUUGGUGGAUACGGAUUGGCUCGCGUGACAUUAGCUGGAUGGUAAGGUAACGGCUUACCAUGGCUACGAUGUCUAGGGGUUCUGAGAGGAAGGUCCCCCACACUGGAACUGAGACACGGUCCAGACUCCUACGGGAGGCAGCAGUGAGGAAUAUUGGACAAUGGAUGGAAAUCUGAUCCAGCCAUGCCGCGUGCAAGGAAGACGGCCCUAUGGGUUGUAAACUGCUUUUGUAUGGGAGCAAUAAGGGCUACGUGUAGUCCGAUGAGAGUACCAUACGAAUAAGCACCGGCUAACUCCGUGCCAGCCGCCGC
rnacentral:rRNA from 1 species